ACAGACGAAGAAUCCUGCUCCACCUUUCUAGGUGGUUGUAACCAUCUUAUGAGAUAAGGGAAGCCUUUUGCAGUGUCUGCAAGUGCUGGAAAUUGCUGACCAAGCAUGCGGCCAGGGUGUUUAACAGCUUUUACCCUUAAGGCUCGUUCAGCAAGAGGGGGCCCAAGCUCAUCAGGAGGGUCCUCAGAACGGCAGUCCUCACCAGCAGUUCUCUGGGUGGCAGUGCUGAAUGGAAGCGGCCAUCCCCUAAAACAGGAAGGAGGUGGCACAUAAUGAAGAAAUGCCAUCAUAAGCCAAAAUUACAACCAAGUUUAGAGACCAGAGAUCUUCCCAGAUGGAAUCUCUGGAGAAAGUGUUUUCAGUUAUAGUAACAAAUGAACACUUACGAAGUCCUUACCAUG
rnacentral:lncRNA from 10 species